rnacentral:rRNA from 1 species
GAUGAACGCUAGCGGCAGGCCUAAUACAUGCAAGUCGGGCGGGAUUCAGGAGAUUGCUUCUGAUGAGAGUGGCGCACGGGUGCGUAACACGUAUGUAACCUACCUUUAUCAGGGGGAUAGCCUCUCGAAAGAGAGAUUAAGCCCGCAUAAAAUCUCAGCACAGCCUUAUGUAAUGAACAAAUAUUUAUAGGAUAAAGAUGGGCAUGCGGAACAUUAGCGAGAUGGCGGGGUAACGGCCCACCAUGGCUACGCUGUUGAGGGGAGCUGAGAGGAUGGCACCCUACACUGGAACUAAGACACGGACCAGACUGCGACGGAAGGCAGGAGUAAGGUAUGUUGGGCGAUGGACGGAAGCGUGAACCAGCCAUGCCAGGGGCAGGAAUACGGCCCUACGGGUUGUAAACUGCUUUGAUACGGGAAAAAACCAAGAUACGUGGAUCUGGCUGAAGGUACUGAAAGAAUAAGGAUCGGCUAACUCCGUG